AAGACCCGUGCCCACAGUUGCCAGCAUACCCUCCGGGGUGAUGGGCACACUGUGGGGACCGCCGCUGCUAAAGCGGAGGAAGGUGCGGGCUACGGUAGGUCAGUAUGCCCCGAAUCAUCCGGGCUACACGCGGGCUACAAUGGUUGGGACAAUGGGCACCUACACCGAGAGGUGAUGGUAAUCUCCUAAACCCAGCCUUAGUUCGGAUUGAGGGCUGCAACUCGCCCUCAUGAAGCCGGAAUCCGUAGUAAUCGCGUAUCAAUAUCACGCGGUGAAUAC
rnacentral:rRNA from 3 species